rnacentral:lncRNA from 1 species
UGGGUUAUGCAUGUACGGGAGGUGUGGGCGUGUAUGUGCGGUAUAGUGUGUUGUAUAUGUACAGUCUCUAUACUGUGUAUGUAGUGUGUCUGUGGUGUGGCCUAUAUUGUAUGAUGUAUUGUAGUGUGUGUGUGUGUGUGUGUGUGUGUGUGUGUGUGUGUGUGUGUAGUGAUGGUGUGGUGGAUGCUAUGUAACUACUGUGUGCCUCUUUGCCAAGAUGUCCUAACUCUGAGGCUGAGAGCCAGUGCAGGCCUGCAUAGUCUAGCUUUGUGUUUCUCCUGCUCGGCCAGGGAAGCUCACCUUGCAGGGGUCAGUGUGAUGCCAAUGCCUGUUACAGUUGAGCUCUGUUCUUCUCCCAUCUGCACCUUGUGAUACACAGGGUGGAUAGAAACAUCACUUCCCUAGAAAUACACGGCAUGCUUCGCUGGCCACAGGAAAUGGGCUGACUCUGGACCUAGUCAUGUUACAGUGAGGGCCCAGCGACUGCUGGACUGCAGUAUCCUUCUACCAUCCACUAACUUGCAUGUGAAAUUACUUCAGAUGAGCUCACCCAGGGCUCACCAGAGAUAGAAGACCUAUAUGAUCUCUACCUGCCAUGAGUCAGAGGGGUGGUUCUCAACAGGACGUGCUCUUGACCCCAGGGAACACUUGGCUUACCGCGUGGACCCCGGACAUUUAUCUUCCUGGUGAAAGUCUAUGUGGGGAAAGAUAAAUCACGUUUGAGAUCUGCUAAGUCAUCACCUGCCUUUGUGGCCAAACCUGAAAGCCAGGCCCCGGGUCUCAUUUCCCCAACAACAGACUGUGAGAUACCAUGGAGACAAACUAGCGGCGAGUGACUUCAUUAAGUCUGCAUGGCAAGAGUGUUGGGAUGGUUCUUGAGCUCUGAAUCUCAUGGAGGACUUUGAUCACACUCCUGACACCGUGUGGAAGGAUGCCUGCCGAUACCAUUAUGCCUGCUUUUCUGGCUGGCACUGUUAUUGAUUCUUGCCAGCAGGAGCUACAGCAGGCUCGGGAUGUUGCUUUAGGAAGCAAAACUUCAUGUGAUGUUUGGUUAUUAAGAACCACUGCUGUGUGGGUCACCUGUGCUGGGCUUGGCUACUUCGUCCCUCUGAAGACAUCACGGGGGAAGAGACACAAAUUCAACACAUAAGUGCCCCUCAAAUGAUCCACUCUACUGUGUGCACUGAAGUGUAUGCCUGAGCCCUUCAUCAUGUCCAUUUACUUGGGACACAGGAUUUGUUUGGUUUAUGGAAACUUCCAGGGGAAGCAGGAGGUUAGGACCGUGCAGCAUAUGAACUCUGGGAGCGCACUGUUCAGUCUGUAGUGGAGGCAUUUGGACACUCGGACUACGGAAGGAGGGACUUACUCUGUCACAUCUCAGCUGUGUGACUUUGAUCAUGUCCUUGGACUAGUCUGGCUUGCGGAAGGUGCUCCUAUUGACCUCAAAGAAGAGAGACAUGGCUUUGUGAUUAGCAAGGUGCUCCGCCCAUGGAAAAAAAAUGCAACAUGCCUUGCAUCAUUUUUGAAUGUGAACUUAGAUGACAGCAAUGUGGAAAUGGGGUGAAAUCACCAGAAAAACAGAUUUGUUGCUGCAAUAACAUUUCUUUCAAGAAAACCUGGUCCCUAGAGGUGGGCCUGGUUGCUGACAUUUGAAUACCUCCACAUUUCCAAGGAACAGAGUUCUUUUUCCCUGCGUGACUAGAAGCUUAAAACAUUACCCUCUAAUGAACACCAGAUGGUAGAUCUGGAAUGCCUGGCCUGCAAGCCUGGCCUGGAUGCCCCUUAGCUUGCUUCACUUAUACAGUACCUGGGCCAACAACUCAGCAGACUGAACAGGAGAGAGAAGCCUAGGGUUUAACCACCCUAUAUCACAAAGUACCUGUGGCUGCCAGGCGAUGCCAAUGACAUUCUCAGCCUGUGAUGUCACAGACAAAUCUUUUAGCAGAAAUGGUUGAUGGGCCACUGAGAAGCCAAUGCUUUGGCCUGCACUGUGUCCAUUCCCUUACUUGUUUCACAUCCUGCUUUCUAGAAAUAUCUAAAGAUGUCAUAUCCCUAUUUUUUACUUUUUCCUGUGGAAAAAAAAAAACCCACCAUGCUUGAAAUGCACCAUUCUGUCAUGCUAUGGUAUAAUUUUAUGUAUCGUGCUUAAG